rnacentral:rRNA from 1 species
UACGUAGGGUGCGAGCGUUAAUCGGAAUUACUGGGCGUAAAGCGUGCGCAGGCGGUUACAUAAGACAGAUGUGAAAUCCCCGGGCUCAACCUGGGAACUGCGUUUGUGACUGUGUGACUAGAGUACGGCAGAGGGUGGUGGAAUUCCGGGUGUAGUGGUGAAAUGCGUAGAUAUCCGGAGGAACACCGGUGGCGAAGGCGGCUUCCUGGACCGACACUGACGCUGAGGCGCGAAAGCUAGGGGAGCAAACGGG